GGUUAAGCGACUAAGCGUACACGGUGGAUGCCCUGGCAGUCAGAGGCGAUGAAGGACGUGCUAAUCUGCGAAAAGCGACGGCGAGGUGAUAUGAACCUUUGACCCGUCGAUGUCCGAAUGGGGAAACCCAGUGUGWUUCGWCACACUAUCGUUAACUGAAUACAUAGGUUAACGAGGCGAACCGGGGGAACUGAAACAUCUAAGUACCCCGAGGAAAAGAAAUCAACCGAGAUUCCCCCAGUAGCGGCGAGCGAACGGGGAGCAGCCC
rnacentral:rRNA from 1 species